CAGCAUGUGGACCCUGAUCUUCACUGCCCUGCUGCCCUCCCUCAUCUUAUCAUGUGAGGUGGACACGAAAAAGCUCACUGGUCUUGCGAGGGCCAGAGUGGAGACGUGUGGUGGAUGACAGCUGAAUAGGCUGAGGGAGGUCAAGGCCUUUGUGACCCAGGACAUUCCUCUUUAGUA